UCUUUUCCAUUCUCCAGCCCUUUUCAUCCUUCCCAUUGUGGUGGCUGGGAACACUUUUUUGAACAUGCAAGUGGAUUUAUGCUUGAAAUUGACUUGGUUCGCUGCGUUACAGUGGGAUAUAUUUGUUCACACCCAAAAUCCAUCACCGGUUCCUCCAUCAUGCAUGUUCUAGCUAUGGCGUGACAUACAGAGUGGAAGUUAAGAUGUUUUCUCUAAUUAUUUGAUGUAUUCGGUAUUGUUGCUUUGUUUUGGAAUGAACUUAGUGGUGAGCAUACUGCAUUUUUUUGUGAGUUUCAUUGCAAAUCCCGCAUAUUAAUCUUUUUACAGUAUCAGACUACACUGAUAAAAUGUUAGGAGUUAGGUCACAGUAGUGUUUAUUCAGACUAUUAAUUGAUUAAGUUCUCGCAGGUAACCUAACCUUUUGUUUUAUAGACGUUAUUGCUGUUACUUACUGAAUUCUGCCUCUCAGCACUUAAUUUUUCCAGAGGAGUUUGAAAAAUUUAUGGAACUCUUACAUGGUGAACGUUUUCCUCUGUUCAUCUGAUGUUGCUUGGAUGUGCAAAUAUGGAUAUACUUUUUGAGCAUUUAGUUUCCUUUUAUCUUUUCAGGUUCGGACGAUCUAACAGCAAGGAGCUGAAAGGAGCUAUCAUUGUUUUAGAAUAAUACACAUAAUCUAUUUUACCUAAAUUUAAGGUUUAAGAUAAACUGGUACAAAUUGCACUGUGAUAUGUCGAUUUCUCGCUUUAUCAAAUGUUGAAUUUGCAAAUUGUUGUGGUCGUUCCUAUUACAAAUAUUGGCUGGGUUUAUUUAUAUCCUAAUGAUCUUUUAGGAAAAAAUACACAACUCUGUUAGUAUUCUUCUUUAAGGCAAUAGCUGAUGGACGAGAUAACUCAAUUAGAUUUGUUACAAAUGUUGUUUUCAACUAAUACUUAUCUAUUUGCCAUUUUAUAUGAGAAUUACAACUAUAUGCUAUUCCGCGAAGCACCAAGGAAGAAAAGGCCAGAGCUCAUAUAUCAGAAAGUGCUACUAUAACUCGAACCAUUUUCCGAAGACAUGACUUAAAAUAAAGGGGGAGGAAGUUUGUCGUGGCUCAAGUUGGAUGGUUCUGGGCUGGGUAAUCACUCCAGUUACUUUAACUUUGUGAGAAAUGGCAUCAGACUGACUACAAUGCAGGCUGGUGUAAAGAGAACAACUUACAGAUUCAUCCAUCGUCUGUGCUAAAUAAAAGCAAAUGAGGACGAGAUGCUUCUAACUAUGUCGUCUAUCAUGAAGUAAUAGUUAUAUUACUUUCACUUAUGCAUAAUGUAUUUGUAGUUGAGAUACCAUUGUUGAUUGUUCAUGCCAAUCUUACCGGAGCUUGAGAAAAUAAAUGUAUUUAAACUGAGGGAAAUACCAUAUGCUUGAGAAUUGAGGUAAUUUACCUCUAUUAUCCUUUCUAUUUUGCUUGAGCAUUUCUUGUGCAUGACACAGUGGGGGAUUCAGCCAGCCUGAUAAGCAAAUUCAAGAAGUAACUUCAAACGUGGAAAAUAAAGAAACCAUAACAACUCAGCCACUGGAAGAUCAUGAAUUCGUGAUUGGUCUAUAUGUGCUUCAUCCGGUUCUUCUGCAAAUUUUCGCUGCUCGGAUGGAACGAUAGUGUAAACCAAGUCUUAAGCUUUAAGCUUUAUGACGGGGAGGAUGCUAUUCUUCUGCUUGAUGUAAAUGUGAUUCAUUAGUCGCGCCAAUCGGUGUGUCUAAAGAAUGAUCAGGUGAAUUCUUGAUUUCAACUUCUACAAAGAAGAGAGUAGCAAUUGAGUGUUUUAAAUGUUUCAGAAGCUGCUUUUCAGUGCUCAACCUAAUCUUACUGAAGACCUUUAUAGAUGGUUUCCCAUUUGCUUUUCUUAACUGUGAAGCAGUUGAUUUACUUUGUCAAAUUUCAGUCCGCAAUGAGGAAGAUAUAGAUCAAGAAUCUAUUAACAUA